rnacentral:tRNA from 3 species
GCAGACGUAUCGAAGCGGUCGUAACGAGAUUGACUCGAAAUCAAUUUGACAGCAAUGUCACGUGGGUUCGAAUCCCACCGUCUGCGCCA